AUUGAACGCUGGCGGCAGGCCUAACACAUGCAAGUCGAACGGUAACAGGAAGCAGCUUGCUGCUUCGCUGACGAGUGGCGGACGGGUGAGUAAUGUCUGGGAAGCUGCCUGAUGGAGGGGGAUAACUACUGGAAACGGUAGCUAAUACCGCAUAAUGUCGCAAGACCAAAGAGGGGGACCUUCGGGCCUCUUGCCAUCGGAUGUGCCCAGAUGGGAUUAGCUUGUUGGUGGGGUAACGGCUCACCAAGGCGACGAUCCCUAGCUGGUCUGAGAGGAUGACCAGCCACACUGGAACUGAGACACGGUCCAGACUCCUACGGGAGGCAGCAGUGGGGAAUAUUGCACAAUGGGCGCAAGCCUGAUGCAGCCAUGCCGCGUGUAUGAAGAAGGCCUUCGGGUUGUAAAGUACUUUCAGCGGGGAGGAAGGGAGUAAAGUUAAUACCUUUGCUCAUUGACGUUACCCGCAGGAGAAGCACCGGCUAACUCCGUG
rnacentral:rRNA from 1 species